AGUGAACGCUGGCGGUAGGCCUAACACAUGCAAGUCGAACGGCAGCACAGUAAGAGCUUGCUCUUACGGGUGGCGCGUGGCGGACGGGUGCGGAAUACACCGGAAUCUACUUUUUCGUGGGUGAUAACGUCGGGAAAUUUACGCUAAUACCGCAUACGACCUAUUUGUGUAAGCAGGCGAUCUUCUGACUUUUCGCUAUUGUAUGAGCCGACGUCGGAUUAGCUAGUUGGCGGGGCAGAGGCCCUACAAGGCGACGAUCCGUAGCUGGUCUGAGAGGGUGAUCCGCCACACUGGAACUGAGACACAGUCCAGACUCCUACGCGAGGCCGCAGUGGGGAAUCUUAGGCAAUGGGCGCGAGCCUGAUACAGCCAUACCGCGGGAGUGAAGAAGGACUUCGGGUGGUAAAGCCCUUAUGUUGGGAGAGAAAAACAGCAGGUUAAUACCCCACGAUAAUGACAGUACCCAAAGAAUAAGCACCGGCUAACUUCGUG
rnacentral:rRNA from 1 species